GGACGCUCCAUGUGCGUCCCUCCCGAAGCUGCGCGCUCGGUCGAAGAGGACGACCUUCCCCGAUAGAGGAGGACCGUUCUUCGGUCAAGGGUAUACGAGUAGCUGCGCUCCCCUGCUAGAACCUCCAAACAAGCUCUCAAACAUUUUCUGGGCCUUGGUGCUGUCGUAUGGCAAUAAGUUAUGUAAGUCAUAUGUUAUGUAGUGUAAGUGCCAGCCUUGUA
rnacentral:snRNA from 1 species